rnacentral:misc_RNA from 1 species
AAGUCGUAACAAGGUUUCCGUAGGUGAACCUGCGGAAGGAUCAUUAACACGUAUCCAACGUUAAACCCCCCUGUGAACCUUUAGUGUGCUCCCUCAUUCUGUUGGAACGUGGCAAUCGCGAGGCAAGUGGCCUGGCAUUCCUCUGCUUGUUAGUGUCUGAAAGUGUCACUGGCUCUGUAAGAAUGGCGCAGUCACGAUCGCUAGAGGCCGACACGGCCGGCGACCAUGUCACCGGGCUCACGCCCCCCUAUCACCCCUUUGCAUGAAAACGGGCCUGCGCUUAAUUGUGCGGCCAUAAACCGAACAACUGUUAACAAUGGAUAUCUUGGUUCUC